UACGUAGGUGGCAAGCGUUGUCCGGAAUCACUGGGCGUAAAGCGCGCGCAGGCGGCGAUCUACGUCUGGGGUGAAAGCCCGGAGCUCAACUCCGGGACUGCCUUGGAUACGGGAUCGCUUGAGGAUUGGAGAGGCAAGGGGAAUUCCACGUGUAGCGGUGAAAUGCGUAGAUAUGUGGAGGAACACCUGUGGCGAAGGCGCCUUGCUGGCCAAUUUCUGACGCUGAGGCGCGAAAGCGUGGGAAGCAAACAGG
rnacentral:rRNA from 1 species